rnacentral:lncRNA from 1 species
AUCAAACUCUGCACUGCCACCAUGCUUCGCCGGUCGAUUUCGUCACCUACAGAUACCCCGACGAUCUGUGUUUGCUUCUUACUUUAUCGAUCUUUGCUCUUCCUCUCUCUGAACCUUUUCCUCCAAUCGCAGAGGAACAUGUCGAGCUCCCCAUCCUCGCCCGAAGGAAGCUUCCACUACCGCAACACAAUUAAGCACCCCUACAUCUAGAGACCGUCCCGGGUACAGACGAAUACGUCUGUGAGA